rnacentral:rRNA from 1 species
GACGAACGCUGGCGGCGUGCCUAAUACAUGCAAGUCGGACGCAGUUGCGAACGGGUGAGUAACGCGUAGGUAACUGCCUAUUAGAGGGGGAUAACUAUUGGCAACGAUAGCUAAUACCGCAUACUAGUAGAUGGACCUGCGUUGUAUUAGCUAGUAGGUAGGGCAAUGGCCUACCUAGGCGACGAUACAUAGCCGGCCUUGGAAGGGUAACGAGCAAACUGGGAAUGGGACCCGGGCCAGACUCCGACGGGAGGGAACAGGAGGGAAUCAUCGGCAAUUGGGGGAAACCUUGCCGAGGAACGGCGGGGGGGUGAAGAAGGUUUUCGGGUCGUAAAUCUCUGUUGUGAAGGAAGCGUUACUUAACGAGAAAGGGACGGCUAACUACGUGCCAGCAGCCGCGGUAAUAC